AUACCUGGCACCUGGUAGGUGCUACACAAAAGUUUGUUAAACAAUAUAAUGCAAAUGAAGGCACUGAGGUUAAAAGAGAUCAUUUCCUGGAGCUCUCCCAUACCAUUAACAGCAGAAGUUGGCUGGCCACUCAGAUUUCCUGAGAAAUCCUGGUUUCCAGGGGAAGCUGGAAUACUCUCAGGUAUUGACCCCAAGAACUUUCCUGAUCACAAAUCUCCAUCUUGGGAUGUGCGUUCUGGAGAACCCCACAUGCGACAUAUAUAUGCCCCUGGACGUAUACCUCAUGUGCUCCCAGAGGGUCUGCUUUUGCUGUCUGCACUCCCUGCUGUGCCAUCACCCACUGGGCAACCUG